rnacentral:rRNA from 1 species
UACGUAGGGGCCGAGCGUUGUCCGGAGUUAUUGGGCGUAAAGCGCGCGCAGGCGGCCUCGCGCGCCCGACGUGAAAGCCCCCGGCUUAACCGGGGAGGGUCGUUGGGGACGGCGGGGCUUGAGGGCGGGAGAGGGCGGUGGAAUUCCCGGUGUAGUGGUGAAAUGCGUAGAGAUCGGGAGGAACACCUGUGGCGAAGGCGGCCGUCUGGGCCGACCCUGACGCUGAGGCGCGAAGGCGUGGGAGCGAACGGG